GGCGCGGAGGAGAGAAUUUGUAAAUGUGGCGAAAACGCUACGCAAUUAUAAUAUCCCCUAUAGAUGGGGCUUCCCGACGAAGCUGCUGGGUUGGCACAGAGGCAAAUCAGUAGUGAUUCUAGAGCCGGAGGUAGGAAUGGCAAAGCUCAAAGAAUGCUAUGGGACAGUCGUCACCUCAUAGACACUCACCGAAGAAGCUGAG